rnacentral:rRNA from 1 species
AGUGGCUAAUACCGCAUACGCCCUACGGGGGAAAGGGGGGGAUCGCAAGACCUCUCACUAUUGGAGCGGCCGAUAUCGGAUUAGCUAGUUGGUGGGGUAAAGGCUCACCAAGGCAACGAUCCGUAGCUGGUUUGAGAGGACGACCAGCCACACUGGGACCGAGACACGGCCCAGACUCCUACGGGAGGCAGCAGUGGGGAAUUUUGGACAAUGGGGGAAACCCUGAUCCAGCCAUCCCGCGUGUAUGAUGAAGGCCUUCGGGUUGUAAAGUACUUUUGGCAGAGAAGAAAAGGCAUCCCCUAAUACGGGAUGCUGCUGACGGUAUCUGCAGAAUAAGCACCGGCUAACUACGUGCCAGCAGCCGCGGUAAUACGUAGGGUGCAAGCGUUAAUCGGAAUUACUGGGCGUAAAGCGUGUGUAGGCGGUUCGGAAAGAAAGAUGUGAAAUCCCAGGGCUCAACCUUGGAACUGCAUUUUUAACUGCCGAGCUAGAGUAUGUCAGAGGGGGGUAGAAUUCCACGUGUAGCAGUGAAAUGCGUAGAUAUGUGGAGGAAUACCGAUGGCGAAGGCAGCCCCCUGGGAUAAUACUGACGCUCAGACACGAAAGCGUGGGGAGCAAACAGGAUUAGAUACCCUGGUAGUCCACGCCCUAAACGAUGUCAACUAGCUGUUGGGGCCGUUAGGCCUUAGUAGCGCAGCUAACGCGUGAAGUUGACCGCCUGGGGAGUACGGUCGCAAGAUUAAAACUCAAAGGAAUUGACGGGGACCCGCACAAGCGGUGGAUGAUGUGGAUUAAUUCGAUGCAACGCGAAAAACCUUACCUACCCUUGACAUGUCUGGAAUGCCGAAGAGAUUUGGCAGUGCUCGCAAGAGAACCGGAACACAGGUGCUGCAUGGCUGUCGUCAGCUCGUGUCGUGAGAUGUUGGGUUAAGUCCCGCAACGAGCGCAACCCUUGUCAUUAGUUGCUACGCAAGAGCACUCUAAUGAGACUGCCGGUGACAAACCGGAGGAAGGUGGGGAUGACGUCAAGUCCUCAUGGCCCUUAUGGGUAGGGCUUCACACGUCAUACAAUGGUCGGGACAGAGGGUCGCCAACCCGCGAGGGGGAGCCAAUCUCAGAAACCCGAUCGUAGUCCGGAUCGCAGUCUGCAACUCGACUGCGUGAAGUCGGAAUCGCUAGUAAUCGCGGAUCAGAAUGUCGCGGUGAAUACGUUCCCGGGUCUUGCACUCACCG